AAUCUUCUUUAGCACCAUUGUUUGAAAGCAUCAAUUCUUUGGCAUGCAGCUUUCUUUAUGGUCCAACUUAUGAGGCUGGCUGUCCUUCAAACUUCGCAAUGAUUUUGGGGUCAGAAGUCCAUCUGUGUUAUCAUAUAUGUGACUGAUUUUGUACAUAUCUCCGGGGCUUGACUAGGGCUAUGUGAGUAGACACUUUCCUACCCAACUAUGUGAUCUGAGAAUGGGCUAGUGGGUCAUUUUCCAAGUGAAAUGCAAUCUAUACCAGUUCUCUGUGGUUGCUGAGAGGAUAAAACAUGUGGGGCUGUUGGCUAGUCUACUAGCUUGCCAUAAGUAAAGUCUACCUGAGAAUGAGGUCUGGCAGAGGAAAGCAGGGCCAGAAAGUAGAGAGGGUGUCAAAGUGUUCCAUAGUCAUCAUUUGGGCUCAUAGACCUGAAGCCAGAGGCCUAAUUUUUUAAUAUUUUGAGCCAAUACAUUUCUUGUUUUGCUGAGGUCACUUUGAAUUAAAUUUCUGUCACAAGCCAUACAUUUCGGACUAACAUGCAAUUAGGCCUGAUACAUGUUGUCUCAGGCAACCUAGAUAUUAUAAUGUCCAUUUUACAAAUGAGGAAAUGGAGGUUUGGAGACCCAGGUAAUUUGCAUGAAUAUUACAGGUAGUCACUGAAAGAGCUAGGAUUUGACACAAGGCCAAUCUUGAAUCUAAAGAGAAUGUACUUUCUCUAAACCUUUGAAAAUGUUUUCAGGUUUGGUUUCUUUUAGAAACAUAAGCAUCUGUGCGUCAAAGUCUCCUUUAGAGAGGCUACCUUCCUCAUGCUCGGUUCUAGAAUUUAGUCAGUGCAUCGUCGGCUGACUCGAGUAGUUGUUUAUACAGUCUAUGAGCUUGCAGUUUAUGGUAUUUUGUAAUUUUGUUUUCCCUGUCGUUUUGCUAAUGCAGCUUUGUGAGCAAACAUUGCCUAUGAUUUAAAUCCGCCACAGUAAUGAAACUCAGUGAGCACACACACAUACACACAUUUCCUCAGAACAGUCCACAGCACUCUGAUUAAUCUCAUGUGUGAAGUACAGUGUUUAUACAGGAAAUCAGCAGGUGGCAAUUAGCAUCUUCGAAAUUAUCUGGGAAACACAACUGGAGCUGCCAUUUCAGGAUGGAAACAUAGCAAUAACCAGCAAAGUGACAAACCCCCUAGGAGCUGGGAAUGAAUCGGGCUGGGAGCCGGGGCUGCUAGGCAUGCAACAGCUGGUGGGGCAGCUCGGUGUGGAUCACAGAUUGUGUGCCAGCCUCUUACUUUCCCUCCCGACAGUCAAUAAGCAGUCUUUGGGUAGAGACAUAAAAUGGCCUGAUAGGCAGACCAUCGUAGAACAACCUUCAAAAAUACUCACCCCCACCCAUCCCCCCCACCCCCCGCCAAAUCCUCAGAUCUUAGUCUAGGUGCAGACAGACACUGGUGCUACUACUGUAUUAGUUGGUAAAAUAUUGAACUAUUUCCGUGUUGGUUAGUAAACAGCUGCUGUCUUGAGCUUGCUAAGUGGCAUCCCACUGCUGUUUUCCCUGGGACCGCCUCAGCUCUCUAGGAUUCACUGAUCAAAAGCUGAAAGCCUGACUCCCGCCCCAGUGCUGAGUUCAGGGUCCAUUCUGAUUGGUCUGUGCCUGUGGUGUCUGGUCGUUAACUAUUUGAAACAUCAUCCCACAGGAGUUUCAGGGACCACUGCAGAAGACAGAUUCAGAGGAUGGGUUCUGGAGAAGGAAGAAGCGGAAUUAGUGCAUGGACCGUUUUAUGCUUGAGAUGCUCUUUCUCAAUAGCUGAAAAAAAAAAUUCAAGCUAAGUACUAUCAUUGGACUUGUCGAAAGGAAAAUAGGAUCUUAUGCUGCUAAACAUGUAUGCGUGAAGAAUGGGGAAUAACCAUCUCUACUUUCCAAAGCCAACGUGAGGCUUAAGUACCUGAUAUGUACGAGUGAUCGGUAGUUGAGUUGAAGAACCCAGAUGAAAUUGUCUCUAUGCCCAGAUGUGAACUUGCCUAUGACAUAGCCUCCAUGAAGGAAUUCAGACAUCACUGUGGAACACAGCUCUCCUAUAGGACAGCCCUGCUGUCCUUCAGGUGGUCCUAGGAAUUGACUCAUGGUGCUGGAGGCCCAUAGACUUCCCUCAGGACAGAUCCCAUCUUCUCUGCCACAUCCAGAGAAGCCUCAUGAGGCCAUUAUUGACCUGCACAUCAGAACAAUGGUUCUGGGAUGCUGAAGCCCCUAGUGCCCACUCGGGAAACCAAAUCACUUGGAAUUAACAAGUCAUUUGGAGUUAACAACAGCAACAAAUCAAUAGCUAACCUUUUGGAAUACUAACAGAGCUGGAAAAGGACUCAUUCUUUUGAGGUAAUCUGGAGCCAAAUGAACUGAAACUUUUUUCAGAAGGAGGAGAUGUGAUGGUAUGAGAGCAAAAGAAGACCGAAAGUAAAAUUCCUUUUGUUUGAUUUGAUGGUGUGGGUGAGCAGCCUUGGGAACAGUGAACACACCUCCUCUUCUUGUUUGUGUGAGUGACUUUCCCGACUGAGACACAGUAACACCCAGAGGAAAUCAUCUAACUGUUACUGGUAAUUAAAUUGAGAAUGUCAAGUCUCCCAGAGGACCAUUGCUCAUUGGAGAAGAGGAGAGCCAUUUCUGUUUGCAGUUACUUACUGGUGGAAAAGUAAAAUGAGCCCUGUUUUGAUGAAGUGUCCUGGUGCUAGUGAAACAUUCCAUGAAGGGCAUUGUCUUCAAGACUUACUGAAUCCAUUCUACUGAACCAUAAAGCUAAGUUAAAAAAAAAAAUCUUGACAGUUUAUAGGGGAGAGAGAAUGAGAGAGAGAGAGAGAGAGAGAUUAACAUGGACAAAUAAUUUUUCAAAGGUUUGCCAUAUGCCAAGUUUGGUUAUAUGGAUGCAAUGGUGAAACAAGGGGUCUUGAGCAAUGACUUUGGAUGUCUGAGCCAUGCAGUUUCUGUUGCGUGCCCAUGCUCAGUUGCUAAGUCAUGUCUGACUCUUGCGACCCCAUGGACUGUAGCCUGCCAGGCUCCUCUGUCCAUGGCAUUUUCCAGGCAAGAACCCUUGAGUGGGUUGCCAUUUCCUCCUUCAGGGGGGGUUUCUUGACCCAGGGAUCAAGCUCAUAUCUCCCGUGUCUCCUGCAUUGUAGGCAGAUUCUUUACUGCUGAGUUACCUAGGAAGCUUACAGUUUCUGUUACAACUACUCAGUUCUGUUGUCAUAAUGUCAACUUAAAGAAAAACACAUAACAUGAUAAUUGUGCAUUUCAGUUUUUAUUCAUGGUCUUACUGAGGACCGCGGCCUGGGAGAUAACUCUGAAGAACUGCUCUGAAGAGAGAAAGGAGAAGCUAGUUUAUAUGUGUGUGUGUGUGUGUGUGUGUUUUUGGCUAAGAAAUACAUGCAGUCAAAAGUAUUGUUGUUCAGUUGAUAAGUUGUGUCUGACUCUGCAACCCCAUGAACUGCAGGACACCAGGCUUUCCUGUCCUUCCUUAUCUCCCUGAGUUUGCUCAAACUCAUGUCCAU